rnacentral:tRNA from 1 species
GUGUCCGAGUGGUUAAGGAGGCAGAUUCGAAAUCUGCUGGAGUCUCUCCGCGCAGGUUCGAAUCCUGUCGGU